rnacentral:lncRNA from 1 species
GGCUCCUUCCCUCAACACCUGUAAAAAGAAUAAAAACAUAUGUAUUAGUGGUGUUGGGUAUGUUAGAGUAGGGUAAGGUCUUAAAACUCCUUUCAUGGACAUCUUCCCAUGAGGGAACAUGGUUCCUCACCAACUCAAUGUGAGGUGCUACAAGUAUAGAAAAAUAUGGGACAAACCUUUUGUAAAAGUUUGUUAAGUCAUGGCAGCCCCAGAUUUCCCUUAUACUUGGUGGAG